UACGAAGGGGGCUAGCGUUGCUCGGAAUCACUGGGCGUAAAGGGUGCGUAGGCGGGUCUUAAGUCAGGGGUGAAAUCCUGGAGCUCAACUCCAGAACUGCCUUUGAUACUGAAGAUCUUGAGUUCGGGAGAGGUGAGUGGAACUGCGAGUGUAGAGGUGAAAUUCGUAGAUAUUCGCAAGAAUACCAGUGGCGAAGGCGGCUCACUGGCCCGAUACUGACGCUGAGGCACGAAAGCGUGGGUAGCAAACAGG
rnacentral:rRNA from 1 species